UGCUUGAUGUCAAAUACGCAGAAACUUUUUAUCAUGGGAAGCACGAUCUUGAUUCUACUUGUUGCUGCGGUCGCAGCUUUGGGAUUUUUCGAACCAAUAGAUAUAAAGAUGACAAAAUAGUAUGGAUAAUUUAUCAUUUUCUGAAAAGGAAUGGAACAUGACUAAUUAAGAGACAAGAGAAGAUAUAUAAGACAGAAUAAUGGAAUAAAUUAAAUAUUGAUUAUGGAUUAUAAAGCAGUUCACGUGAUGAUAUAUACUGUCAAGCACGUUAAAUCUGAUUGAGAACCACUGUUGGUGUAAUAUUCCGGUAUCGAGGUAAAAACACUGAAAAUGAAUUAACUUUUUGUCCGGGCGGCUCGACUCCAGGGCGGCCACGCUCAAGUCACAUUGUCAGAGCCGAGGAAAGAGGUUACACAGGGACUGAUGGAGAAGUUAGAAGAAAAAGAUCUAUAGAGAUCGCCAUUGUAUCUUGUCUACUAUUCGGUGUAUCAUGUGGUGUGUCCUAGGAUACCGGGACAUCGCGAAUUAACUAGCCGUAUUCCCUCGAUGAACAUCGGUUGUGAGUUCAACGACAACGACGAGAUUGUCUGAACGAGAAAAGAACCACUCUUCGCAUCGUCGAGCCUUAAUCGAGGUCGUGCUACCCAUAGUUUUUUCUUUAUAUCGUUGUAUCCCAGAAAAACGGAACGAUUCCUCAUCUCGACGACCCUUCUUCGCUCGACAAUUAUAAGAAAGUCCUAUCUUUUCAUUUAAUUUUAAUCACAUUUUAAAAGAAAUAUUUGUUAUCUUACUCGUAACAUAUUCUUCUUGUUUGUACCAAAAAAAAAAAAAAAAAAAAAAAAAAAAGAAAGAAAAAUUUCGAAAUAAUCACUAGAUUAUUAGAUUUAGAAUAAAUCACUAGAUUCUAGUUUAUAUAUAGAAUUUAUACAAGUUAUUAUAUUCUAACUAAUGUUUUACUUAUCAAUAAUGAAGCUUUGAAUAGA